GGAGUCUGGGCCGUGUCUCAGUCCCAAUGUGGCCGUUUAGCCUCUCAGCUCGGCUACGCAUCCUCGCCUUGGUGGGCCAUUAUCCCGCCAACUAGCUAAUGCGACGCAGGUCCAUCCCUUACCGAUGAAUCUUUGCUCCUCGUUAGAUGCCCGCAAAGGAGAACAUAGGGCAUUAAUCCGACUUUCGCCGGGCUAUUCCCUAGUAAGGGGAAGGUUGGAUACGCGUUACUCACCCGUGCGCCGGCCGCCAUCAAAGUUUGCAAGCAAACUUCAUGCUGCCCCUCGACUUGCAUGUGUUAAGCCUGUAGCUAGCGUUCAUC
rnacentral:rRNA from 1 species